GCUCCUACGGGAGGCAGCAGUGAGGAAUAUUGGUCAAUGGGCGGGAGACUGAACCAGCCAAGCCGCGUGGGGGAGGAAGGUACAGAGUAUCGUAAACCUCUUUUGUCAGGGAACAAAGGCGGGGGCGUGUCCCCGGAUGAGUGUACCUGAAGAAAAAGCAUCGGCUAACUCCGUGCCCGCAGCCGCGGUAAUACGGAGGAUGCGAGCGUUAUCCGGAUUUAUUGGGGUUAAAGGGUGCGCAGGCGGUCUGUUAAGUCAGCGGUCAAAGCCCGGGGCUCAACCCCGGCCCGCCGUUGAAACUGGCG
rnacentral:rRNA from 1 species